AUUGCUCCUUAGUCUCUGGUUGGGGAAGGUGUCUCUUACCAGGGCUGUUCUACAGGAAGGUGUUAACGACCGUGCUGUAUGAGUGACUGUGCAACUUGGCCCUGUGUUUGAGCAUGAUCCUAAUGCCGGUGCAUGGAAAAGGAGACAAAGGUUAAGAAAGAGGGGAGAAGUUUCAUCCAUUCACAGUGCCACCCACCUGAAGUGGCCCUGAAAAAAAAAUAAGGGCUCUUCACGUUGAAAAGGCGACAACCUUGAGGGAUACGGUGUGUGCAUCUACACACUCAUGAACGUAUGGAAGUGGGUGAAUAGGGAAUUCAACAUUUCUCCGCAACUGGGUACCCAAAUGAUGUAUGAGGAUGUUUUCAAGUGCUGCAAUUAAUGUGUGAAAGUAAUUUCUGAUGGGUGUGUCUAGAAAUUAAACUGGAGAACUGGGGCAGCUCUGUCAGCGUAGGCUUGUUGGUGCUCAUUAAGCAAGGCAUCUCAAGGAAACUCCUUCCUCAACAAGUCCAUAAAUCAUGGAGCAGGGUAAGCACACCAGGGGGAGGCUUGCUCUACACUUAUCCCAUGCCCCAUGUUUUCUCCCUCAGGCUCCCACAGCCAUUUGCACUCAUCCAUCAUUACUGCAUUCCUGUCCUCACUUUUUUACCCCCUAUAGUUUUGUUUGCACAGAAUCUCUGUGCACCUCCAAAGCUCUUCCCUGUGUCUGCAGAACUUUCUGAUAUAGGGAACACAUCUUCAAACGGGUCAUAUAGGAUCAGCUAGGGUAGAAAUCGCUUUACGUAAAGCAAUUUCAGUGCUGAUGUCCAUGUAGACACUUGCUAUGGGGCCUGGAAAGGAAAAAAUGCUUUCUCAUCUUGGCAGUGCUGAGCGUUACAUGGCUUCUGAACAAAAGACAAAGGAGAAAUACUUAGUGGAAUAAAAGCAUAAUGAAACAUUCUGACCUUUUUCCCCCUGCACUCUUCUCGAGGAGCUCAUAUGCAGGCUUUUUUCAGGCAUUCGAGAGUGGCAAAUGUGAAAUGCUGAAUUUUAGUAAGUAACCUGCACAGGGAUCAAAGUGCAGCAGAAAGCAAGGCAUGCAGCGAGGCUCUCUGCUUUCCCCUGGUAGAAGAUUAAACAGCUUUAAUAGUGCAGUUUUAUGAGAACCACAGCCCCUCUGUUACUGGCCUGCCUCUUCAGGAGGAGACAUUACAGCAGGAAGCAGGGAUUAGGGUUUCCUCUCCAGUGCCAGAGGGAGAUAUGGCACAGUGCAGAUGUGCAGUGCCAGAGCUGUCAGCAACCACAGGGAGUCUGCGGAGGGAACGAGCUAACCAGACAGUGGUGAAGCAAUUAGAAAUAUCAAAGGAAAGAAUGUGCUUUGGAAUGUAAAGGCAUGAGAUGAUAGGCAUCUUUAGUAUAAAGAACCGGUUAAAUUUAGUACAGGCUAUUAUUAAAACUCCUGGCACAUUAAGACAUUUCCUGGGAACUAUUCUGGUUAAGCCUGCACUAUUUCAGCAGUAAAUUCAAUCCAGUUAUGUAUUCAACUCAUUUUGAAACGUAGUAUCUAAAAGAAUGAGAUUUUCUUUUUUUUAAUUAUCUUCUUAAUUCUACUGAAAAUAGCAAAAAAUCACCACAGGAAAUUAAGAUUAUUAUUAUUUUUAUUAUUAUUUGAGAUCAAAUUUGCCCUAAAGAUCAAUAAAGCAAAAAUGAUAAGCUCCUGUACUUCACUGUCCCAGCAAAUAGUGAAUCUCAUAUUUAAAAUAAUCACAAAAUGGAAAACUUUACAAUGAAAUGAAAGGAUAUGGAGCACCAUAACAGUGGAAGGAAUGAAGACAUAGCAUAUACAGACCACUCACUGAGGAAACUGCAAAAAUACAAUAGACAUAAGGGAUUUUUUUCUCUGAAAUAUUGCAGGAAAAUAAUUGGAAGCCGUGGUCACGAAUUACAAAUAUGUAAAUUGGGUGAAACAGUUGGGCAUGGGAAAAACACAUACCACCCUCACCUGCACUCGGCAUCUCAGAAAACUAAGAGAUCGUACAGAGAGCAUCCCUGUCUGUCUGCCAGCAUCACAACCUCGGGAAUAGGACAGCAAUCAUCACAGACAUUUCCAGCUCACGGGAAGAGUCCACGCUGCCAUGCAUGCUGAACAGGUGAAGUGCAGUCUUUGCAGUGAUUGACCAGUGGGGACAUUUGCAAAGGGAAGAACACGGAAAACAAUUCUGCGUAUCAUUGCCUGCAAACUGAUGGGAGCUCAUAGGAGAAAAAGGAGAGACUUAACCCACUCGACCAUUAAGGAAACUUUUCCUUCCCGUAUCAAAAGUACACUACAGCAGAAAGUAGACAGCCGUUGAGAUUUUUCCUUGGUGGUGGAAUUGAUGCUUCAUAGCUUUUAGUCUUAAUUCUGCUUUUUUUACACCCUUCCCUAGGGUGCUCUAGCAGGGAAGGUUGGACUCCAUGAUCUCCAGAGGUCCCUUCAAGCCCCAAUUCUGCAAUUCUGCAAUUCUGUGAUUCUGUGGUCUGUUGAAAUUCUACUUACAAAGAAAAUGAGUGCAACGGAUAAGAGAAAAAAGCAGGAAAAUAAAUGCUUUCCAAGUCUGUAAUCAUUUGAUUACUUGAUUUUAUUAAACGUAAAUUAUGCAGACCUUGCUAAGCUUUCUGCAGUAAAAUAUUGUUUCUGUAAAUUAUUGAGUACCUUUCAUUUUCUGCACAGAAAGUCUCAAGGAUUCCUUUUGAAGAAGGAAUUUCGUUAACGAAAUUAAACCCAAAUAGAAGCU
ensembl:lncRNA